GUCCACGCUGUAAACGAUGGAUAUUAGCGAUUGGGAGUAUCGACCCUUUCAGUCGCGAAGCUAACGCGUUAAAUAUCCCGCCUGGGAAGUACGGCCGCAAGGCUAAAACUCAAAGGAAUAGACGGGGACCUGCACAAGCGGUGGAACAUGUGGUUCAAUUCGACAACAAGCGAGGAACCUUACCAAGGCUUGACAUCUCGGGAAUCCCGAAGAAACUCGGGAGUGCCGCAAGGAGCCCGAAGACAGGCGCUGCAUGGUUGUCGU
rnacentral:rRNA from 1 species